AGUGAACGCUGGCGGUAGGCCUAACACAUGCAAGUCGAACGGCAGCACAGGAGAGCUUGCUCUCUGGGUGGCGAGUGGCGGACGGGUGAGGAAUACAUCGGAAUCUACUUUUUCGUGGGGGAUAACGUAGGGAAACUUACGCUAAUACCGCAUACGACCUACGGGUGAAAGCAGGGGAUCUUCGGACCUUGCGCGAUUGAAUGAGCCGAUGUCGGAUUAGCUAGUUGGCGGGGUAAAGGCCCACCAAGGCGACGAUCCGUAGCUGGUCUGAGAGGAUGAUCAGCCACACUGGAACUGAGACACGGUCCAGACUCCGACGGGAGGCAGCAGUGGGGAAUAUUGGACAAUGGGCGCAAGCCUGAUCCAGCCAUACCGCGUGGGUGAAGAAGGCCUUCGGGUUGUAAAGCCCUUUUGUUGGGAAAGAAAUCCAGCUGGUUAAUACCCGGUUGGGAUGACGGUACCCAAAGAAUAAGCACCGGCUAACUUCGUGCCAGCAGCCGCUGUAA
rnacentral:rRNA from 1 species